AAGAUACAGAGACCGGGUGCAUGCGCUACGGCCUUGUGGAAGGGAAUCUGUCCGGGUGGGAUCCGAGCCCUGCGCAUCCCAAAAGAGCAGAGCAGGUGCUCAGCUGGUGCCCUGUUACCGUGCCACACGCUUUAUUUGCCUUUGUAGGGCAGCGUGUUUGUCCACAGGCAUUAUCAGGCAGGCAGAGGCAGCACCCCUGUUUGCAGGAGGCUGACGGCUCCUGCCUGGGCACCGCAGCUGGCGAAGGCUCCUGUGCUGGGGGGGGUGCAGGGAAAGCCCUGGGGUGGGGGACUUGGGACUGCAGGGAGCAACAGCCCCCAGGAGAAGCAGCUGAUGGGAAGGGUGCUGGGCUGCCCAGGAGAUGGCAGCAGGUUUCCACCAGCGUGGUUGUGGACGUGGACCUGGGCAGCCUGCUCUAGGUGGCCUUGCUCGAGCAGGGCUGGACCUGCUGACCUCCAGGGGUGCCUUUCAACCUCAGCCCCCCGUGAUCUUGGGCAGUGCAGAAAGAGAGGAUGCCCUGCAGAUAGCUUGUGAGGGCAGCCCCCAGCCCCCACGUCGUCCACAUUCACAUUUCUGGCAAUGGCCAGUGCCUAGGGUGCGGAGGGGGGGAUCAUCUUCCUAUUCACUGCAGGCUCUGAAGGGUGCUGAGGUUGGGGGGGGGCUGGAAGGGUUAAGAGGGCUGAGGCUGCACCCACAGCUGUGGGUGCUGAGAGGGUAUAAGUGGGGCUGGGGGCACACCUGGGCUGCUUUUGCCCCUGCAGCAAUGGGAAGUGGUGCUUGUGUGUUGGUGUGGCAAAGCACAGCCCAGUACUGGAGAAGAAAAGCAGCGAGGGAAGGUGAGGACCGAUGCUCUGUUGUCAGCAGCGGGGGCUCUCCCUGCUGCCUCGGCAUGAAAAACCUUUCAGCAACCACUGGACUUGAGCCGCCCCAGCCUGCCAGGAGCAGAAGCACAAACCGGGCAGCAGGAGCAGCACAUAAUGGAGCUAGCUAUUUUCCUGCAGCAUUUAGCCUCGAUUUCCAGGAGAUAAGGCUGCUGGAUGAACACCUAGAGCACUUUGCACCUCCAGCACAGGAGGGGAAUCCUUGCCAUGGGACCUACCUGCCAGUGAAUGGAGGAAUUAAGCCUUGA
ensembl:lncRNA